rnacentral:lncRNA from 10 species
AAAUUGCCACAAGCACUCCAGCCUAUGGCGACCAUCACCUCCUGAUCAGUCAGCAGCCAUUAAUAUUGAGUGGUCUGGAACUGAACCUGCAAUAUCUCCAAAGUACGCCUGUACUUAGAAUCAGUCUUGGCAUUUCAGGGCAUUGUGAAUCUUCAUUUAGGUUUAGGAGCAAGAUAAUGGAAUAGAAGCCUACAACAUUUGCUCUCCGACCCCACUGGAAAACCAAAUGACUCUUGGGUUUCCUGACACCAGGCCUAGGUGGUGGGACAGCAUUUCUGGACCUGCCCUGGGAAAGAAGGGAGCUUAACAGUCCUGAAAGGACAGACUAGUUCUCCGUCCCUUGCAGCUCAUGGGCUGAGUUCUGACCAAUGGGAUGUAGACAGAGAUGAUGCGCAAUCUUGAAAGAAUUCCUACUCCUCACCUUCCCUUUGGAUCGCCAGCUGAACCAAAGUUACAUGACUUUUCAAAGCAUCU